UUUUGCAUCCGGUUUUUGCUCAAUGAUGCCAUUACCUACAGCGUGUAACAGGUGCGUCUUACCUAAACCAGUUCCACCAUA
rnacentral:antisense_RNA from 1 species